rnacentral:tRNA from 1 species
GCGGGCGUCGUAUAGGGGUUCUGUAUGUGACAUUGCCAAUGUUGAGGUGUGGUUUCGACUACCACCGUCCGCUCCA